UUCUGCUCCUCUGUUCUUUGUUCUUCAUUUUAAAGUUUAACUUCCUCGUUCUUUACAUCUCCUUGCCCCUAGUUUCAGUAAACAACCCCCUCCUAGCCUCUAUCACCUGCUCUGAUCUUAGUCACCCUUGGUCACCUACUCUGUUCUUAGUCAUCCUGAAUCACCUGUUCUGUAACCAUCCUUCCUGCCAAACUACUCACCCUGCCACUCCGGCUCAUACUCCUGCUUUCUUUAAAAUAGCCAAUCAGAAUUAGCUUAGACUGUGUGGUCCAAACCUAGCCAAUAGGGGAACAACACAGCAGUAGGGGCUACCUGUGUCAGGGAUAAGAACCCCUUCCCCUCCCUUGUUUGGGUGUGCUCUCGCCAUUGCUCCAUCUGUGAGACGCACCCUUCUAUAGAAGUAAAAUUUCUUUGCUGAGAAAAUUCAUAGUACAGUGCUAUUUCUUUUGCAGCACUGAAAAUUUAUUUCCAACAAAUUUGGGGGCUCAUCUAGGAUUCCCAUUCUCCUCUGGGAAAGGGUCUUCUUUUGCCUCUCCUAUGAGAAGGUGUGCCCCACUGCCUUGUUGUGGCGGCCUCGGGGUAAGGAAUCAAGACCCACCUGGUGUGAUGAAUAAAGCUGGACUCUCAGCAAUGCAGGAAGAAACAGGCUGGCAGCUUGGGGAAAGGAUUCUUACAUACCCCGGUGACCAGGUAACUCUGUGCACAGACCAAGAACUAAAGGUCUUUUAACACAGGUGCCACCCCUAGAGUUUCCAGUACACCAACAUCAACCUGAGGACCACAUCCUCGUCGAAAGUUGGAGGGAAGGAAAACUCGCACUGGCUUGGGAAGAACCUUUCCUAGUGCUUCUAACCACCGAGACUGCAAUUUGAACAGCAGAAAGAGGAUGGACUCAUCACACCUGGGUCAAAAGAACACCACCCGCUCCAGAAUAAUGGGCAGCUAUUCCAGGGCCAACUCCAACCAAGCUAAAGCUUGGUUUGAUCCUCUUACAUUGCAUCUCUUUCUUUUCCCCUUCUAUUGCUAGACCUUUAGUUAGUAAUGUAACUAGGUCAAGUACACCCCAAACUGUUACUUUUGAUGCUUGCCUUGUGAUGCCCUGUGGAGAUUUGCCAAAACAGAGGUAACUCUCCACUUCAGAAAAGUAUCUUUAUCCUUCCUAGCUCUCCUCAGGCUGGAAAUCUGUUAACUGGGAUAAGUUAGUUUGGGAAGAGUUUGACGAAGAUUCUAGUAUGAACUGGGAAUCUUGUCCUCCUAGAGCAGAGCUUCUCUGCCGAAGUUGGUCCAAUGCUCUGUAAAAUACUGAAGAGCAAGGAUGGACCACCCCAACUAGUACUUGCAGUUUCUUAAAACCAUAUAUUCAUUUUACUGAUGGAGUUAACCCUCCCCAUUCUCAGCUGAACCAAUGUAAUCCAGUACAGAUUACCAUCACUGCUUCCCAGAGUUCUUCCCCUUCAUUAAGCUGUUUCUAUGGUAUUGGAGCAGAAGUCUCAGGGAAGGACCCCAUAGGAUCCUUUGCAAUGCACUUCAUUGCCUCCUCACUUCCUGCACCCACUUCUCCCUCUCCUUAGUUCUCCAGUAACCAAACCUUCUCUCAUUAUAUACCCAAUGAUAAAACCAAAGUAAUUGUUGUACAGGUUAAAGAUUCAAAACAAACCAUAGCAACCAAAACAGGGUAUCAGGAUGCAAAGGCUUGGCUGGAAUGGAUUAAAUAUGCUGUUUGCAGGCUAAACAAAAGCUCCUGUUACACUUGUGUGACAGGCAGGCCAGAGACCCAAAUUGUUCCCUUUCCACUUGGGUGGUCCUCUCACAGACCGGGCAUGAGCUGCAUGGUAGCUCUCUUCCAGAACCCCACAGCCUGGGGUGAUGAGUCAUGCAAGACUCUUUCACUGCUGUUCCCUGAGGUCAAGAGCCAUGCGGGUCAGCCCUGAGGACUAUCCAGCCUCCAGCCCCUGAUAUUAACUUCACCUCAUGCCUUUCACGGCAGGGGGACAAGUUAGCAUUCCUUGGAGACUUAACAGGGUGCAGUGAAACCAAGCCUUUUGAAGAGCUUACCAAUCAGUCUGCCCUUGUUCAUCCCGAGCAGUUGUGUGGUGGUAUUGCUGGGAACUAUUAGCUGGGUACACUGCCAAGUAAUUAGAGCAGCACUCGUGCUCUAGUCCAAUUGGCCAUCCCUUUCACUCUAGCAUUCUGUCAAUAUGAUAAAAAGAAAAUUGUAAAAGAAGUGCCUCACAUGGGUCCUUUGACCCCCCUGUUUAUAUAAACACUAUUGGAGUUCCAUGAGGAGAACCGGAUGAAUUUAAAGCCCGAGAUCAAAUAGCUUCAGGAUUUAAGUCAAUAUUUUCACGGGUGACAAUAAAAACAUAGAUUGGAUAAAUUACAUCUAUUAUGAUCACCAGUGGUUUAUUAAUUAUUCCACGGAUGCUGUCAAAGGGAUAACAGAACAAUUGGGGCUCACUGGCCAGAUGGUCUGGAAAAACAAAAUGGCCCUAGAUAUGAUAUUAGCCAUAAAAGGUGGUGUUUGUGUUAUGAUUAAAACUCAGUGUUGUACCUUUAUCCCAAGCAACACUGCCCCCACUGGGGGCAUAACAAGAGCCUUACAAAGACUUACUGCUUUAUCCAAUAAACUAGCUAAACUUCUAGAGUUGAUAACUCUUUCUCAGAGUGGCUGGAAAGGAUGGUUUGGUAAACAGAAAGAAAUCACAGCCUUAAUUCUUCUCUUGCAGCCAUAGUAGGUGUACUCGUUCUUGUUGGGUGUUGUGUCAUACCACGCAUCCGUGGGCUAGUACAAAGACUUACAGAAGCAACACUUACUAAAAUUUCCCUUAGCUCUCCUCCACCUUAUUCAGAUCAGUUUUUUCUUUUAUAGGAUUAAGUUGAACAACAAAGCCAAGACCUGUUAGAAAAGUUUGAAGAGAAAGUACUAUGAAAAUUGAAAAGGGGGAAAUUGUAGGAUAAUAAUAACAAAUUCCUGUCCAAAGGUUUUAGCCUGUAAAUUGUUAAGUAUAAUGAGUUUUGAGAUCCUCUCCAAAGAACCAAUGUAUCAGUAGGUUCAGCUCCCCUGUUCUUUGUUCUACAUUUUGAAGUUAAACUUCCUCAUUCUUUAUGUCUCCUUGCCCUUAGUUUCAGUAAACAAUGCCCUCCUAGCCUCUAUCACCUGCUCUGACCUUAGUCACCCUUGGUCACCUACUCUGUUCUUAGUCAUCCUGAGUCACCUGUUCUGUAACCAUCAUUCCCACCAAACUGCUCACACUGCCGCUCUGGCUCAUACCCUCGCUGUCUUUAAAAUAGCCAGUCAGAAUUAGCUUAGACUGUGUGGUCCAACCAUAGCCAAUAGGGGAAUGACACAGCAGUAGGGGCUACCUGCAUCAGGGAUAAGAAACCCUUUCCCUCACUUGUUCAGGUGUGCUCUCGCCAUUGCUCCAUCCAUGAGAUGCACCCUUCCAUAGAAGUAAAAUUGCCUUGCUGAGAAAAUUUAUGUUCGAGUGCUAUUUCUUUUGUGGCACUGAAAAUUUAUUUCCAACAUUCCUAACAGUACAAACACUUGGAAUAACUAGCUCCUUUCUCCCUUCCCCUUUUCCAGAGGCAGUAACACCUCCAAUAUGUACUUGCAGAUUGGCAUAUAUCAUCCUUCCAUUUUAACCCAUUCAAGGACUCUUUAGAAACCAUCAACAAAGGUUAUUCUCUAAGACAUAUGGCAUAGGUCAGGGGCUAGCAGAUGUUUUCUUUGAAAGAUUACAUAAACAUCCCAUGCUCACAGGCCAUAUGGUCUGUCACACCUAUUCAACUCUGCCAUUCUAGCAUGAAGGCAGCCAUAGACAUAUGUAAACAAAUGGAUGUUAUUGUGUCUCAAUAAAACUUUAUUUAUAAAAAGGGCCAGAUUUGGCCUAUGGAGCUGUA